AAGACUAUACUUGAGGGACAUUUCCAUUGUUACCACAGAAGUCUCCCUGACCUUAUAGAGUACCUGAAAUCACGAGAAGGAGACCCAGAAUUCUUUCCUGAGCAUGAAGCCACUGUUGACAUCACUUUGUCACAAUGGCUAUGUGCCAUUGAUGACUGUCCUUUUCUUCCUAUAGGGGAGAGGAAUAAUAAGAAGAAAAACAACAAGAAGAAGUAAU